rnacentral:sRNA from 1 species
ACGCCGGAGGGACGGGCUAUCCCGACGACGAUCACCAAUAUCGAUCAUUUCAGAUACUCAUUGCCUGUUUCUAGUAGACAUUCCAGCCCAAUACCAAAGAGUAGUGUUCGGGAUAGUAUGAGGGUUCUCCCCAAAACCGAACCAGAGGUUAGUGAGGGAUGGUUUGCAGAGUGAUGCUGGAUUUCCAGCUCGGCAACAGCACGAUCCCCAGUCGCUUCCCUAAAUCACUGUCGCCAGAAACGACAUUUUGAUUUAUACUGCGUAGUAAUCUGUACAUAUAUCAGAAGCAAUCAUGUUAUACCUAACUCAAUUAUUGCGACC